UUGAACGCUGGCGGCAUGCUUUACACAUGCAAGUCGAACGGCAGCGCGGGCUUCGGCCUGGCGGCGAGUGGCGAACGGGUGAGUAAUGCAUCGGAACGUGCCCAGUAGUGGGGGAUAGCCCGGCGAAAGCCGGAUUAAUACCGCAUACGACCUGAGGGUGAAAGCGGGGGACCGAAAGGCCUCGUGCUAUUGGAGCGGCCGAUGUCGGAUUAGCUAGUUGGUGGGGUAAAGGCUUACCAAGGCGAUGAUCCGUAGCUGGUCUGAGAGGACGACCAGCCACACUGGGACUGAGACACGGCCCAGACUCCUACGGGAGGCAGCAGUGGGGAAUUUUGGACAAUGGGGGCAACCCUGAUCCAGCCAUGCCGCGUGCGGGAAGAAGGCCUUCGGGUUGUAAACCGCUUUUGUUCGGGAAGAAAUCCUCUGGGCUAAUACCCCGGGGGGAUGACGGUACCGGAAGAAUAAGCACCGGCUAACUACGUG
rnacentral:rRNA from 1 species